GCGGCGGACGGGUGAGUAACACGUGGGCAACCUGCCCUGCAGACUGGGAUAACUUCGGGAAACCGGAGCUAAUACCGGAUAACACCGAAAACCGCAUGGUUUUCGGUUGAAAGGCGGCUUUUAGCUGUCACUGCAGGAUGGGCCCGCGGCGCAUUAGCUAGUUGGUGAGGUAACGGCUCACCAAGGCGACGAUGCGUAGCCGACCUGAGAGGGUGACCGGCCACACUGGGACUGAGACACGGCCCAGACUCCUACGGGAGGCAGCAGUAGGGAAUCUUCCGCAAUGGACGAAAGUCUGACGGAGCAACGCCGCGUGAGCGAAGAAGGUCUUCGGAUCGUAAAGCUCUGUUGUCAGGGAAGAACAAGUGCCGUUCGAACAGGGCGGUACCUUGACGGUACCUGACGAGGAACCCACGGCUAACUACUUGCCACCACCCGCGGUAAUAC
rnacentral:rRNA from 1 species